GGUGCCCCCUCCCACAACUUGCGCUGGGUUGGAAACCGCGUUUUGACACAGACGACAAUUCACAGCGGGGGAACCAUUAUCUGUUAUCUGCAAAUUCCAUGGAAUAUUCUUUGACAUCUUCCACUACACGAGGAUUCCGUCUUUGUAGAAAUUGGCAGGGCGACCUCCGCUGUCACGUGCCAAGGGUCCAAUAAAUGUUUGUUAAAGCUUCCAAACACUUUAGCACCAGCUAAGUCCAGCUAGUGGUUUUGCCAAUGAGGUUGAAGACAAAAUUGCCUACUUUGAAAUGUGAAUUAUUGGGGUACUGAUUGUGUUGGUCACCUACAAGCAAACUAUCAAUAACCACAAGGCUAUUUCAGGCCAUAUCAGCACACAAAAAAGAUGGAAAAAAGGAGGAAGAGGGAAAGAAAAUGACACUGGAUUUGAUAGCGAAAUCAGAUAAAGUGAAGACCUCAGCGGGUCUAUCAUCAACUCAACACUAGAUUUCAUGUAAAAUGCAUGUCUAUUUAUUGAAGCAAGAAGGACUCCAAUUUCAAAAACCAGGCCCUCUUAAAGAAGACAUCGUAGCUCAAUAAAAUCACAGUCUACAUUGGGAAGGAUGUUUAAGAAUACAUAUGCAUAUAUUCUGUGAAUCAGUUCUAUACAUAUAGGAAGUUUAUUGGUAGGAGCAAAACUCAUCUGAUCGUCAACUUAACGAAAUCAUUGGUCAUUAAUUUUUUGAAAAUUGACCUAAAGGGUAUCACUUUUUUCACCCUCUUUAAGAUGUUCUUCAGAGUUGGUUGUUUAUUGUCCCUUGUUUUGGUUGGGAUGCACAUCAAAAGUUUGCGAAGAGCUAUGAAUUAAAGCGCGAUUAUAACCAAGUAUUUACUUAGAAACCACAAUAAAGACAUUAUGAACAUGGAACCAUCUUCCUGCGAAAUUACUCUGUUGUAGAUAAGAAGGCGGGGAAAGCAGCAUGUUAGAAAAAAAGAGUACUCGUUCUUUUCUGUCACAAGCAAUAUAUGGUUACUGUGAGGCUUUGCAAUGCUUCAUGCAUGUCGGUCUACAAUUUAAGAAAAAAAUGACUUCAUACGAAGCUUUUAUUCUAACCAAUAAUUGUGCAGCUAAAAUGUUCUGGUAUUCUACAUUAAAAUUUAAUAAACA